rnacentral:rRNA from 1 species
AAAUUGAAGAGUUUGAUCAUGGCUCAGAUUGAACGCUGGCGGCAGGCUUAACACAUGCAAGUCGAGCGGUA